GUUUGGAUAGCUUAAAUUUUAAAAGCUUAGUAUUGAAGCUGCUAGGAUGGUGUAUAUACCUUCAAAUA
rnacentral:tRNA from 1 species